rnacentral:rRNA from 1 species
CAGCUCUCCGAGUGGUAGGGAUGAUUAUUGGGCUUAAAGCGUCCGUAGCCGGCUUAGCAAGUCUCCUGUCAAAUUCAGCGACCUAAUCGUUGAGCCGCGGGAGAUACUACUAGGCUAGGAGGCGGGAGAGGUCGACGGUACUUCUGGGGUAGGGGUGAAAUCCUAUAAUCCCAGGAGGACCACCAGUGGCGAAGGCUGUUGACUAGAACGCGCUCGACGGUGAGGGACGAAAGCUGGGGGAGCGAACCGGAUUAGAUACCCGAGUAGUCC